UCUGCCGUCCUCACUCUCUCUCAAUUCUCUCUCAAAAUACUCCAUUAAAGCACAUACCAAAAGCUUGAAACUUAGGUUUUUCACCAUGAUUUCUUUGGGAAAUCAUUAGAAAAUCCUAAAUGGAAGCUUGAAUUGCAUGAAGCACUCAAGAAAACACAAGAAAUUGAAGGAAAAGUGAAGUUUAAAGCUUGAAAAAAUUCUACUCAUAAGGUACAGGAGACCACCAGCAGCCGCAGUAGAGCUUAUACAGGGCUUUUGGUAGAGCUCAGACUGUUAUUUUGAUAGGGCUCAUGUAUAGCUAAAUUUUGCAUUUUGGGUAUUAUAUGUAAUUAAAUGAUGUAAAUCAUUUUGUGAUUGUAAAUAGAAUUGUAAAUAUUGUAUUUGAUUUUAUAUGAAUGAAAUGAAGUAUUUUAUUUACUUAAAA